GCAGGGCCGCAUCCAUUUUGCGUCGCUGCUGCGGGGCGGUGCGACAGUGAAGAGCUGGACGUCGGGGAGGAAGGAGAGAACUGCCCAUUAGCCGAGUGCUGACCACCUCGCGUCCGCCCGGCUCGGCUCACACCGAGACCCGCAGCCCAGUGACCUCCGCCGCACACCGCCAUGAGCGGCUGCCGUGUCUUCAUCGGGAGGCUGAACCCGGCUGCCAGGGAGAAGGAUGUGGAGAGGUUCUUCAAAGGAUACGGUCGCAUACGGGACAUCGAUCUGAAGAGGGGGUUUGGGUUUGUGGAAUUUGAGGAUCCGAGGGAUGCAGAUGAUGCUGUCUAUGAACUGGAUGGAAAAGAGCUUUGUAGUGAGAGGGUUACAAUCGAGCAUGCAAGAGCACGCUCUAGGGGUAGAGGCAGAGGGAGGUACUCUGACCGUUUUAGUAGCCGCCGUCCACGCAGUGACAGGAGAAAUGCUCCACCUGUAAGAACAGAAAAUCGUCUCAUAGUAGAAAAUUUGUCAUCCCGAGUCAGCUGGCAGGAUCUCAAAGACUUCAUGAGACAAGCUGGGGAAGUAACCUUUGCAGAUGCACACAGACCUAAGUUAAAUGAAGGGGUGGUUGAAUUUGCCUCUUACAGUGAUUUAAAGAAUGCUAUCGAAAAGCUUUCUGGUAAAGAAAUUAAUGGAAGGAAAAUCAAACUAAUUGAAGGCAGCAAAAGGCACAGUAGGUCCAGAAGCAGGUCACGGUCUCGUAGCAGAAGCUCAUCCAGGUCUCGGAGUCGUUCCCGCUCCCGCAGCCGCAAAUCCUACAGCAGGUCAAGGAGUAGGAGCCGUAGCAAGUCUCGAUCAGUUAGCAGAUCUCCAGUGCCAGAGAAAAGCCAGAAACGUGGUUCUUCCAGUAGAUCUAAAUCUCCGUCAUCUGAGGAUCGGCAGAGGUCUAGAUCAAGAUCCAGAUCUGUUGACAGUGGCAACUGAGCUUAUAGUUCAGUUAUGGGGGCCCUUUUUUUAAACCAUACUUGCUAAAAAUUGUGUCAUCCUUCAGCAUGACGCUGAAUAGCAGGUAAAAGGCUCUUGUAGCAGCUGCUCAGCUGUCCCGAAGGACUAGAGAAAGCUGGUUUGGAAGCAUCAGAAGGCUGACUUGUGGAAGACUUCAUGCAGCAGUGCAUUCUCCAGUCUUCACUGACACUCAGCUGGGCUUUGGCAUUGUGGACCUGCUGAAGUUGGGCAAGUCUACCUCACAUCUGUACUAAUGCCGUAUUUUAAUUAAACUGGACUCUAUUUAUAUACUUUGCUAGCAAAAGAUCCAAAUAUUUCCUUCCUUCAGCUGCAGUACUUGGCAGUUCUGUCCUCUUCUUCCUACUCCAAAAGUGACACUGUUCAGUGAACCUCUCAAAUCUCAGCUUUGCUACAAACUGUUGUGGCAUUAAAAAGUGUCUAAUGUUCUCGUGUAGUUUUAUUCCAUAUAAACACCCUAGUUCUUUGCAUGUGCUCAGUGCAAGUCAUAGCUUUAGCAGGAUGUCCAUCCUAGUUUGAGCACAGGCCUCAGAAAGUCUCUAAGCACUGAUAGUAUACAGCUAUAUGAAACAUUCUGAUGAUGCAAGAAGUCGUAAUUUCUAAUGUCUUCAGUUACCUCUGAAUUUUUGACUGUGAUUUGUAUUUGAUGUAUUGAGUAGGUAACCCUGAGUUUAAAAGGUGACUGGAUGCUGCCUCUAAAAGGCAGUGAUUCAUUGGUAGUUGUACUUUAAAUGUAUGCAGUUUGGACUGGAAAGUGUACAAAAUGCAGCAGCAAAGCUGUACUUGC